AGUGAACGCUGGCGGCGUGCUUAACACAUGCGAGUCGAACGAGAACGGGUUAUAGCUUGCUAUAAUUGUCAGCUAAGUGGCGCACGGGUGAGUAAUGUAUAGGUAAUAUGCCUCUUACUAAGGGAUAACAAAUGGAAACGUUUGCUAAUACCUUAUACUCCUUAUUAACAUAAGUUAAUAAGUGAAAGUUUUAUUGGUAAGAGAUUAGCCUGUAUUGUAUCAGUUAGUUGGUGGGGUAAUGGCUUACCAAGACUAUGACAAAUGACUGGUUUGAGAGGAUGAACAGUCACACUGGAACUGAGACACGGUCCAGACUCCUACGUGAGGCAGCAGUGGGGAAUAUUGCACAAUGGACGAAAGUCUGAUGCAGCAACGCCGCGUGGAGGAUGACACAUUUCGGUGCGUAAACUCCUUUUAUAUGAGAAGAUAAUGACGGUAUUAUAUGAAUAAGCACCGGCUAACUCCGUGCCAGCCGCCGCCGUAA
rnacentral:rRNA from 1 species